GACGAACGCUGGCGGCGUGCUUAACACAUGCAAGUCGAACGGAAAGGCCCUGCUUUUGUGGGGUGCUCGAGUGGCGAACGGGUGAGUAACACGUGAGUAACCUGCCCUUGACUUUGGGAUAACUUCAGGAAACUGGGGCUAAUACCGGAUAGGAGCUCCUGCUGCAUGGUGGGGGUUGGAAAGUUUCGGCGGUUGGGGAUGGACUCGCGGCUUAUCAGCUUGUUGGUGGGGUAGUGGCUUACCAAGGCUUUGACGGGUAGCCGGCCUGAGAGGGUGACCGGCCACAUUGGGACUGAGAUACGGCCCAGACUCCUACGGGAGGCAGCAGUGGGGAAUAUUGCACAAUGGGCGGAAGCCUGAUGCAGCAACGCCGCGUGCGGGAUGACGGCCUUCGGGUUGUAAACCGCUUUCGCCUGUGACGAAGCGUGAGUGACGGUAAUGGGUAAAGAAGCACCGGCUAACUACGUGCCAGCAGCCGCGGUGAUACGUAGGGUGCGAGCGUUGUCCGGGUUUAUUGGGCGUAAAGGGCUCGUAGGUGGUUGAUCGCGUCGGAAGUGUAAUCUUGGGGCUUAACCCUGAGCGUGCUUUCGAUACGGGUUGACUUGAGGAAGGUAGGGGAGAAUGAAAUUCCUGGUGGAGCGGUGGAAUGCGCAGAUAUCAGGAGGAACACCAGUGGCGAAGGCGGUUCUCUGGGCCUUUCCUGACGCUGAGGAGCGAAAGCGUGGGGAGCGAACAGGCUUAGAUACCCUGGUAGUCCACGCUGUAAACGGUGGGUACUAGGUGUGGGGUCCAUUCCACGGGUUCCGUGCCGUAGCUAACGCUUUAAGUACCCCGCCUGGGGAGUACGGCCGCAAGGCUAAAACUCAAAGGAAUUGACGGGGCCCCGCACAAGCGGCGGAGCAUGCGGAUUAAUUCGAUGCAACGCGUAGAACCUUACCUGGGUUUGACAUGGAUCGGGAGUGCUCAGAGAUGGGUGUGCCUCUUUUGGGGUCGGUUCACAGGUGGUGCAUGGCUGUCGUCAGCUCGUGUCGUGAGAUGUUGGGUUAAGUCCCGCAACGAGCGCAACCCUUGUUCACUGUUGCCAGCACGUUAUGGUGGGGACUCAGUGGAGACCGCCGGGGUCAACUCGGAGGAAGGUGGGGAUGACGUCAAGUCAUCAUGCCCCUUAUGUCCAGGGCUUCACGCAUGCUACAAUGGCUGGUACAGAGAGUGGCGAGCCUGUGAGGGUGAGCGAAUCUCGGAAAGCCGGUCUCAGUUCGGAUUGGGGUCUGCAACUCGACCUCAUGAAGUCGGAGUCGCUAGUAAUCGCAGAUCAGCAACGCUGCGGUGAAUACGUUCCCGGG
rnacentral:rRNA from 1 species